AAUAGCGGAGGAAAAGAAACUAACAAGGAUUCCCCUAGUAACGGCGAGUGAAGAGGGAAGAGCCCAAGAUUGAAAGCUGGCGUCUUCGGCGUCCGCAUUGUAAUCUCAAGAAGUGUUUUCCGCUUCGGACCAUGCCUAAGUCCCUUGGAAAAGGGUAUCAUAGAGGGUGAUAAUCCCGUACAUGGCAUGGAGCGCCCGAAGCUUUGUGAUACGCUUUCUACGAGUCGAGUUGUUUGGGAAUGCAGCUCAAAAUGGGUGGUAAAUGCCAUCUAAGGCUAAAUAUUGGGGAGAGACCGAUAGCGAACAAGUACAGUGAUGGAAAGAUGAAAAGAACUUUGAAAAGAGAGUUAAACAGUACGUGAAAUUGCCAAAAGGGAAGGGUAGGAGGUCAGAGAUGCGUCUUGGGAUUCAGCCUUGCUUUUGCAUGGUGUUUUUCCCAAGCUGCAGGCCAACGUCGGUUUUGGGCACUGGAGAAGGGUAGGAGGAACGUGGCACCUCUCGGGGUGUGUUAUAGCCUCCUACUGGAUACAGCGACCGAGACCGAGGAACGCAGCGUACUCGUAAGAGCGGGCCUUUUGGCACCUUUACGCUUAGGGCGUUGGCAUAAUGGCCCUCUACCACCCGUCUUGAAC
rnacentral:rRNA from 1 species